UACGUAGGGGGCAAGCGUUGUCCGGAUUUAUUGGGCGUAAAGAGCGUGUAGGCGGUUCGGUAGGUCCGUUGUGAAAACUCGAGGCUCAACCUCGAGACGCCGAUGGAAACCCCCGAACUAGAGUCCGGAAGAGGAGAAUGGAAUUCCUGGUGUAGCGGUGAAAUGCGCAGAUAUCAGGAAGAACACCCGUGGCUAAGGCGGCCAUCUGGACGAGUACUGACGCUGAGACGCGAAAGCGUGGGGAGCAAACAGG
rnacentral:rRNA from 1 species